CGCUGGCGGCGUGUCUAACACAUGCAAGUCGAACGGAGAUAUGAUUUCGGUUAUAUCUUAGUGGCGAACGGGUGAGUAACGCGUGAGCAACCUGACCUUCAGAGGGGGAUAACACUUGGAAACAGGUGCUAAUACCGCAUAAGACCACGACCCGACAUCGGGAUGCGGUCAAAGGAGCAAUCCGCUGAGGAGGGGCUCGCGUCCCAUUAGAUAGAUGGCGGGUAACGGCCCACCAUGUCGACGAUGGGUAGCCGAGCUGAGAGGCUGAUCGGCCACACUGGAACUGAGACACGGUCCAGACUCCUACGGGAGGCAGCAGUGGGGAAUAUUGGGCAAUGGGCGCAAGCCUGACCCAGCAACGCCGCGUGAGGGAAGAAGGCCUUCGGGUUGUAAACCUCUGUCCUUGGUGACGAAACAAAUGACGGUAGCCAAGGAGGAAGCCCCGGCUAACUACGUG
rnacentral:rRNA from 1 species